AGGUCAAGCUACAAAGGGCGCAUGGCGAAUGCCUUGGCACUAGGAGCCGAAGAAGGACGCGUUAAGCUGCGAUAAGCUUUGGGUAGGCGCAAAUAGCCUGUGAUCCAAAGAUUUCCGAAUGGGGGAACCCACAUAGUAACAACUAUGUACUGCAUACUGAAUAAAUAGGUAUGCAGAGGUACA
rnacentral:rRNA from 1 species